rnacentral:rRNA from 1 species
UACGUAGGGUGCGAGCGUUGUCCGGAAUUACUGGGCGUAAAGAGCUCGUAGGUGGUUUGUCGCGUUGUUCGUGAAAACCGGGGGCUUAACUCUCGGCGUGCGGGCGAUACGGGCAGACUGGAGUACUGCAGGGGAGACUGGAAUUCCUGGUGUAGCGGUGAAAUGCGCAGAUAUCAGGAGGAACACCGGUGGCGAAGGCGGGUCUCUGGGCCGAUACUGACGCUGAGGAGCGAAAGCGUGGGGAGCGAACAGG